AUUAAACGCUGGCGGCAUGCCUUACACAUGCAAGUCGAACGGCAGCACUGGGGCAACCCUGGUGGCGAGUGGCGAACGGGUGAGUAAAGCAUCGGAACGUGCCCUGGAGUGGGGGAUAACGUAGCGAAAGUUACGCUAAUACCGCAUAUUCUGUGAGCAGGAAAGCAGGGGAUCGCAAGACCUUGCGCUCUGGGAGCGGCCGAUGUCGGAUUAGCUAGUUGGUAGGGUAAAGGCCUACCAAGGCGACGAUCCGUAGCGGGUCUGAGAGGAUGAUCCGCCACACUGGGACUGAGACACGGCCCAGACUCCUACGGGAGGCAGCAGUGGGGAAUUUUGGACAAUGGGCGAAAGCCUGAUCCAGCCAUGCCGCGUGAGUGAAGAAGGCCU
rnacentral:rRNA from 1 species